GGCUGGUCUGAGUACAGUUUACAACUAAUUGAUCACAACCAGUUACAGAUUUCUUUGUUCCUUCUCCUCUCCCACUGCUUCAGUUGGCUAGCCUUGA
ensembl:Y_RNA Y_RNA Y RNA